AUGACCUUAGUGUUCACCUUGAUGCUUGAGGUGCUCCUGUUCCUGAGAGGAGCCGGAGCCCAGUCGGUGACCCAGCCUGACAGCCACAUCACUGUCUCUGAAGGAGCCCGUCUGGAGCUGAGGUGCAGCUACUCAUCUUCUGCUUCAUUCUAUCUCUUCUGGUAUGUGCAGUACCCCAAUCAAGGACUCCAGCUUCUCCUGAAGUACAUAUCUGGAAACAGCCUUGUCUCAGGUAUCAAAGGUUUUGAAGCUGAAUUUAGGAGGAGUGAGAAGUCCUUCCACCUGAGGAAAACAUCAGCCCGUUGGAAAGACUCGGCCAAGUACUUCUGUGCUCUGAGUGACACAGUGACUAAGACUACAGUGGGAGCUGAACACAAAUCUCCUGAGACAUAG